rnacentral:rRNA from 1 species
GAUGAACGCUAGCGGGAGGCUUAAUACAUGCAAGUCGAGCGGCAAGUUUUGAUAGCAAUAUUGGAACCUAGAGCGGCGCACGGGUGAGUAACGCGUACAUGACCUGCCCUAUACUGGGGGAUAGUCUUGGGAAACUGAGAAUAAUCCCGCAUGUGAUUAGAAUGCUGCAUGGCAAAUUAAUUAAAGCUGAGGCGGUAUAGGAUGGGUGUGCGUCUGAUUAGCUAGUUGGUAGUGUAACGGACUACCAAGGCGAUGAUCAGUAGGGGGCGUGAGAGCGUGACCCCCCACACGGUACGUGAGACACGGACCCGACUCCUACGGGAGGCAGCAGUAAGGAAGUAUUGGUUCGAAUAGGAGGGGAACGU